UACGGAGGAUCCGAGCGUUAUCCGGAUUUAUUGGGUUUAAAGGGUGCGCAGGUGGUUUAAUAAGUCAGUGGUGAAAGUCUGCCGCUUAACGGUAGGAUUGCCAUUGAUACUGUUGGACUUGAAUAUGGAUGAGGUAGGCGGAAUGUGUAGUGUAGCGGUGAAAUGCAUAGAUAUUACACAGAACACCGAUUGCGAAGGCAGCUUACUAAUCCAUCAUUGACGCUGAGGCACGAAAGCGUGGGGAUCAAACAGGAUUAGA
rnacentral:rRNA from 1 species